rnacentral:sRNA from 1 species
AUUCUGCCCAUGCGGGGAAGGAUGAGAAGCUUCGCCCAAGGUUCGACUCGAGCGCCAGCGAGAGAGCGUUGCCGCAGGCAACGACCCGAAGGGCGAAGCGCGCAGCGCUGAGUAAUCCUUCCCCCACCACCA